CCCCCCAUACCAACCUCACAGUUGAUCAAAACCAUUUUCCAUAGCUUCAUUCACACAUACACACACUACUUUCACAAACAGACACUCUUCUUCUUCACUUCUGUUCAUACAUAUUUUAUUUUAUAUAUACGUAUAGUCGUACAUAUAUAGAGAGAUACAUCUAUAUAGGUUUGUGUACAGAGAGAGAGAGAGGAGGAGGAAAAAUGGAGAGGUACAGUGGGACCCAAGCAAUGGAGGGUGAACCGGUGGAUCCGGUGUCUGAAUGGGCUGUUCCAGGCGGAGAGACGGGGCUUGAAGAACCUAUGUGGCAGUUAUCACUUGGUACUGGACCAGAACCCUACCCAGAAAGGCCUAACGAGCCUGAUUGUAUCUAUUACUUGCGUACUGGCUUCUGUGGUUAUGGUGUGAGGUGUCGGUUUAAUCAUCCACGAGACCGUACUUCGGUUUUGGGAGCGAUGAGAGCUACUGGAGGAGAAUACCCAGAAAGAGUGGGUCAACCUGUUUGUCAGUACUAUAUGAGGACAGGAAUGUGUAAGUUUGGUGCAUCAUGCAAAUAUCAUCAUCCAAGACAGGGAGGUGUAUCUCCAGCACCGGUGACAGUGAACGUUUAUGGCUACCCGCUGCGUCCGGUCUGCCUUCUUUUUGUUUUCAAUCAGUCUUUCAUCUGAUUAUUUUGUUUUGUUCCAUUCCGUGUGUUUUCUUUUCUUUCUUUUGGUCUUACUCAUUGAAAAAGUUUCAGUAUGAUUGUUUCCUUUUGAGUUGGCUCAUAGAGUUCCUGUCACAGGGGGAAAAGGAAUGUUCGUAUUUUGUGAAAACAGGGCAAUGUAAAUUCGGCGUGACUUGUAAAUUCAAUCAUCCCCUACCUGCUGGAGCACAAGUGCCUGCACCAGCAGCUGGACCUGGAUCUGGACCUGGACCUCUGACUGCGCCAGCAGCUGUUCCUGCACCACACAUUUAUCCGCCAGCGGUGCAGUCUCCUUCUGUUCAAUCCGCUCAACAAUACGGGGUAGUUUCUGGCAACUGGCCAGUUGCAAGGCCUACUCUGCUUCCUGGUUCAUAUAUCCCUGGGACUUAUGGUUCUAUGCUUCUUCCCCCGGGGAUGGUUCCUCUACCAGGUUGGACUCCUUAUCCGGCCCCUGUUAAUCCAGUUCCUUCCCCAAGUACUCAACUUGCUGCUGCAGCAGGCCCCAUGUAUGGGCUUUCUCAACUGUCUCCUUCAGCACCUGCAUACACAGGACCAUAUUUAUCUGUUCCUUCUUCUGCCGGUCCUUCUAGCAGCAGUCAGAAGGAGCAUGCAUUUCCAGAAAGGCCUGGACUUCAAGAAUGUCAGUAUUACAUGAAGUAUGGCGACUGUAAAUAUGGAUCUUCUUGUAGAUACCAUCAUCCACCUGAAUGGAGUGGACCUAAAACAAGUUUUAUCCUCAGUGCUAUGGGCCUCCCUCUUCGUCCGGGUGCACCAGUUUGCUCUCACUUUGCACAAAAUGGAGUCUGCAAGUUUGGGCCGUCUUGCAAGUUUGACCAUCCAAUGGGAUUGACUUAUAGUUCAUCUUCUUCUUCUCUUGCUGAUAUGGCUGUUGCUCCUUACCCUGUGGGAUCUGCUGUUGGUACUUUGGCUCCAUCAUCCUCAUCCUCAGACUUGCGUCCUGAAGUGAAUGCUGGAUCUGGCAGGGAUGGGUUCUCUACUCAAGUAUCUUCCAUGAACACUUCAAGCGGUUCAGUUGGUUCAAUGUUUUCAAAGGGUGGUCCUGCUUCCCAUUCUGGUGUUCAGCAAUCUGUACAGAGUUCAAAUCCUUCCGGUGGCAGCAGCAGCAGCGCAGGCCAUGGAAGUGAGGCUCGCACAUCAAAUUGAGAGAAGAUUGAGUGAUCACAUUUUUUCUGUUGCUCAAUGAUCACAUGACGAGCACUUUAUUUUUGGUGAUAGUCCCUUUUAGGAGGAUUUUAUCCAAAUUAGUCACACCUUGCUUUCAAUAUUCAGAUCUAGCACACACUCUAGUUCUGUCCACUUCCACCUGCUGUUCAUAAGGCCAUCCACCUCUUUACCUCAUUUCGAAUAAGUGAUAAUCCAUCCUUGAAAGGUCCAACUACCCUCAGUAGAGGUUUGUAGCUAGUUUCUGAAUAACAAGAAACAAAACACCACCUUCCAUCUUUUAGAUAUCUGCCCCAAUUUUUGGACCUUGUUGUGGCUAUUUAUGUUGUAGUCUUUUUUAGGGAGCGAAAACAUCACUCCUACACCCUUGUCCUUUGAAAUUUAGGCUGUCUCUUUAGUCCCCCCCUCUUCAAAAUUGGAAUGAAAUACCAACAUCUUCUUGUUUCUGCUUGGGGCUUUAUUUUGAAGGAACAUCUGAACUUACAGAUUCUGAACAAGACAAUGUUUUAUUGUCUCUUUAUUGGGAUAUUUGAUCAAUACUUGUGUUGUAAUAUGAAGAAUUUAUCAUCAAAUACAGGUGAAAAU
rnacentral:misc_RNA from 1 species